UGUCUUGUUUAUCGAGCACCGCCACGGAUUACGGGCUGGAUUCAAAGAUGCGAGGCGACCAAGUUUGUCGCCCGUCGCUGGAGUUCAGUCGUCGGCUAAUUCCUGUUGGCCUCGCAAGCGUUCCAAGCCGAGAGAUUAAGGGAUCGAGGCGAGGCGGAGCUGACGACCAGGAAGCCCACAAGGCCCACAUGACUCUCCCACAGUGACGGCGGGGUGGGUGUGCCAGUCUGGAUGAACAGGCGGCGGGGUUGGAGGAAGGGCCUGCGCCACAAAUCCGUUACACUCAACCAAACACCAACCAUUAGACUGGUCCCGAAAUCAGAUUAUUCAAACUUAAAUCACACCAAUGAACACUCAGAGUGCCACAGUUUAUAAAUAAAGAUCCUUAGAGACUCUUU